rnacentral:rRNA from 1 species
CAGUAGCCGCGGUAAUACGAAGGGGGCUAGCGUUGUUCGGAAUUACUGGGCGUAAAGCGCGUGUAGGCGGGCUUUUAAGUCAGGGGUGAAAUGCCAAGGCUCAACCUUGGAACUGCCUUUGAUACUGGAAGUCUUGAGUCCGGGAGAGGUGAGUGGAACCGCGAGUGUAGAGGUGAAAUUCGUAGAUAUUCGCAAGAACACCAGUGGCGAAGGCGGCUCACUGGCCCGGAACUGACGCUGAGACGCGAAAGCGUGGGGAGCAAACAGGAUUAGAUACCCCCGUAGUCCCUGUCUCUUAUAU